AUUGAACGCUGGCGGCAUGCCUUACACAUGCAAGUCGAACGGCAGCACGGGAGCAAUCCUGGUGGCGAGUGGCGAACGGGUGAGUAAUAUAUCGGAACGUGCCCAGUCGUGGGGAUAACGUAGCGAAAGCUACGCUAAUACCGCAUACGAUCUACGGAUGAAAGCGGGGGAUCGCAAGACCUCGCGCGAUUGGAGCGGCCGAUAUCAGAUUAGGUAGUUGGUGAGGUAAAGGCUCACCAAGCCGACGAUCUGUAGCUGGUCUGAGAGGACGACCAGCCACACUGGGACUGAGACACGGCCCAGACUCCUACGGGAGGCAGCAGUGGGGAAUUUUGGACAAUGGGCGCAAGCCUGAUCCAGCAAUGCCGCGUGCAGGAUGAAGGCCUCGG
rnacentral:rRNA from 1 species